UACGUAGGGGCUAGCGUUAUCCGGAAUUACUGGGCGUAAAGGGUGCGUAGGCGGUCUUUCAAGCCAGAAGUGAAAGGCUACGGCUCAACCGUAGUAAGCUUUUGGAACUGUAAGACUUGAGUGCAGGAGAGGAGAGUGGAAUUCCUAGUGUAGCGGUGAAAUGCGUAGAUAUUAGGAGGAACACCAGUAGCGAAGGCGGCUCUCUGGACUGUAACUGACGCUGAGGCACGAAGGCGUGGGGAUCAAACAGGAUUAGAUACCCGCGUAGUCCCUGA
rnacentral:rRNA from 1 species